rnacentral:lncRNA from 1 species
GUAUUAUUAAUGAACAAUAAAGUUUCCUUAUAUAAGGAUUACAAAGUAUAGAAAAAAGAAAAUUAUCCAAACCCUAAUACAACAUGAAAUAGAAAAAGAUCUAAAACAGAAAAAUGGAAAACGUCCUAAGACUAAAGUUGGCUAAGGGAUAGGCCGACUCUCUCUCCUCUUGGACGCUGACUCUCUCUCCUCUUGGACACGGCUGGGCCUUGUCUUGGUCUUGG